rnacentral:lncRNA from 1 species
AAAAGACACAACCUUUCAACAUAAUUGAAGUUCACAACCUUAAGAAUUAAUUGGAAAAUACACAACCUUACAACAUAGAACUUUUAGAAAAGACACAACCCUUUACACUACUUUUUCAAAAGACACAACCUUUCAACAUAAGUGGAUUCACAACCUUAGAAAUUAAUUGGAAAAGACACAACCUUCCAACAUAGAACUUUUAGAAAAGACACAACUUUUUACACUUCUUUUUCAAAAG